GCGCCCAUAGUCUAGUGGUCAGGAUACCGGGUUCUCAGCCCGGGGGCCGGGGUUCGACUCCCCGUGGGCGUACCA
rnacentral:tRNA from 1 species